UCAACUCAAUAAUUGUACAUAUUAUCGACCUCAAUUAUUCCAAACACAUGAUGUCAUACAUCGCUUGUGGGGUCGAUGAUCGGAAGUGUUUGAUGAACAACAAACCUAACAAACCAAGCUCGCGUAGAAAAAGAAUAGUGCAUAUCAUGAGGAUCAUCAUCAACCACCAUCACCUCCUCCGCCGUGACCAUUACCAUCACCGCUGCUCAUUUGGGCCACGGUGAUCGCCGCAACAGGCAUGCCGGCGUCGGCACCGCUAGAAUUGGCAGCCCCACCAUGGGCGGAGUCAGCAUGGCCUUCCUCAUCAUCGCCGCCCACAUGAGCAUUCCCUCUUUUCUUGGCCUUCUUGUGAGACUUCCGCCCAGAAGACUUCCCGC
rnacentral:lncRNA from 1 species